CGGUAGAGAGAUGCUUGCAUCUCUUGAGAGUGGCGAACGGGUGAGUAACACGUAGGUGAUCUACCGCAGGGGUUGGGGAUAGCCCAUGGAAACAUGGGGUAAUACCGAAUACGUUGGGUCCGCUUUGGCGGACUCAAGAAAGGCGCUUCGGCGUCGNCCUGCGAUGAGCCUGCGCCCCAUUAGCUAGUUGGUAGGGUAAAGGCCUACCAAGGCGACGAUGGGUAGCCGGCCUGAGAGGGUGAUCGGNCACACUGGGACUGAGAUACGGCCCAGACUCCUACGGGAGGCAGCAGCUAAGAAUCUUCCGCAAUGGACGAAAGUCUGACGGAGCGACGCCGCGUGGGUGAAGAAGGCCGGAAGGUUGUAAAGCCCUUUUCUUGUUGAGGAAUAAGCACAGGAGGGAAUGCCUGUGCGAUGACGGUAGGCGAGGAAUAAGUCCCGGCCAAUUACGUGCCAGCAGCCGCGGUAACACGUAUGGGACGAGCGUUGUUCGGAAUCAUUGGGCGUAAAGGGCGCGUAGGCGGCGAGGUAAGCCUGGUGUGAAAGACCGCAGCUUAACUGCGGGAGCGCGCUGGGAACUGCUUUGCUUGAGUUCAGGAGGGGGAGCUGGAAUUCCAGGUGUAGGGGUGAAAUCUGUAGAUAUCUGGAAGAACACCGGCGGCGAAAGCGAGCUCCUGGCCAUGAACUGACGCUGAGGCGCGAAAGCGUGGGGA
rnacentral:rRNA from 1 species